rnacentral:rRNA from 1 species
GUAGGUGGCAAGCGUUGUCCGAAGUUAUUGGGCGUAAAGCGCGCGCAGGCGGGUCCUUUAAGGUCUGAUGUGAAAGCCCACGGGCUCAACCGUGGAGGGUCAGUUGGAAACUGGGGGAACUUGAGUACAGAAGAGGAAAGCGGAAUUCCACGUGUAGCGGUGAAAUGCGUAGAGAUGUGGAGGAACACCAGUGGCGAAGGCGGCUUUCUGGUCUGUAACUGACGCUGAGGCGCGAAAGCGUGGGGAGCAAACAGGAUUAGAUACCCUGGUAGUCCACGCCGUAAACGAUGAGUGCUAAGUGUUAGGGGGGUUUCCGCCCCCUUAGUGCUGCAGCUAACGCAUUAAGCACUCCGCCUGGGGAGUACGGCCGCAAGGCUG